UUCGGUAUGCGAUAAAAUCAAAAGGUGUAAGACCUGUUACAAGAUCUACGCCAAAAGUCAUGUCUGUGGUGAGGUCUUCUGUAAAACUUGUAAGAAAAAUUGUCCGUCAGAUCAUCUUUUUUACAUACAGCCCGAUUCUGGUGUUCCUCCAUCAAACGAUUUUCUAUUUAUAUUUUAUGAUUUGGAAACUAGUCAGGAAAAGAUA
rnacentral:lncRNA from 1 species